CGGUGACAUCAUAUCCGUCCUGCUGUCGUUCUUGCCGCAUGGUAGCAAGUUUGAGAACAACUCGUUUUAUUUUUCCACAGCUGAAUUGAAGAAGUUUGAGGAAUCUCAAAGUCCUGAAAUCCGGGGAAUCCCAAAAACCUGAAGGAUUUGACCCAUACACGUUUCAGAGAGGCAUUUGGAGCUUGCAACCAAACAUGGCAGGAACAAGAUCAUGAGGUUAUAAUCCAUAGUUACGAGGAGCGGUUGCUAGGUGCGUUGCCGAGAUACAGACCCUUCUCUCCGCUGGCGCUACGUAGGAGGCCAUCGGGUCCUUGAUGAUGGCAGAGAGAUGAGGGACGGGUGAAAGGAUGACAAGAGACGGGACAAUGAGGAUAGAAAAUAGAAGCACACACACCUGACGGAGGCUGAGUGAGCACAGGCACAAAGAUAGCGCAGAAAAAAGGCUGAAAAUGAGAGCGGGGAAUGAAAAGUAAACGCAAAAAGGAUAAUGUAACAGUCUAAGUGGGCAAUCUGAACACCUCCAUUUGCCACGGCUGCAUUUUAGCGUGUCCGUUUUCUGCCUGUGUUUGUGUACAUGUGUGUUUUUUGUGCAUCCGACAGAGGAAAAGACAGAAAGAUGGGAAUCUCCUUUGACUCUUUGAAAAGCCUGCUAUUAUAUAAAUAAAAGGGCCCUAAUGGCUUCAAUCAGUGGAUCGUUUUUGGGUAGGCUUUUUUUUUACCUUGGGAGUGAGACAAAUAGGAGAAAUAAAACACCAUAAGAAACUUUGAGAAAGGGCAUGUUAGGUGUCUUGCGGUGCGCACGAAUAAUGGUUAAAAUGUCCGCCAUUUGAACUGGAUACAAAUAACCAAAAUGUAGCUUACUUAUUUUGAAACCGAUUCAUAAAAGAAGGUAGUUUUUGGACAACUUCGACCUCUUUUCACAUGUUCCCCCAGAUGUUGCUCACACUAACAGCUCUCUUUUUAUUAGCGCUCAUGGCCAUAUAACCACCUGAGUUACGCAAGCUGUCAAUUUAUUUUUCCUAAUCCUGAUCCGUUUAGUAUGGUGAUGAUAGAAACCCAUGGGAGUGCUUACUCCUCACGAGCUUUCUUGUUGGUAGAUAGAAAGAGUGUUCUUUGGUGCUGAAGCUGCAGGAGCCAUCUGCCGCUCCCAGCUACGAUUAUCCCCGGCUUUUCCCCCAGGGGGCAGUAGCAGCGUGCACACCGACACCGCUUAACUCUGCCCCAAGAUCAAAGCCACCAUCGCCCGCUCUCUCGUCUGUCUACCUCUAGGACAAGUUUUCAGCAGUUUAUAAAAAAAAAAAGAUAUUAACAUGAUGUCAUAGAAUGAGAUGUCGACCUCAGGAAGCAAAGUUGUGAGCUUGCUUUGAGUCGGCAGUGAAGCUCUGCCGUGUCCAUCGCUUUUGACAAUGUUAUUAAGAAGAUAAUUCUCGCAAGCAAAUAAACAGUGUGUAACACCCCUGUGAAUUUUCCUUUCUGGUUGGGUUAUUGUUUGUGUAUUUCACUGAUAUUGUGUCAUCUGGUGAGGGAGCAAAUAUCAGGGUUAGUUAGAGGUUAGGCUUCUGAUCUCCUUUGAGAGUGCAACCGAGAGUAACUCUAUAUUCAUUUGAAAUGACACCUACAGUACAUCAGUUAUAGCUGAAAGUGUAGUAUCACAUUCGUCAACAAUGAAUAACUUAUUUACGGUCUCUGUUUUUGUACCUAAUUCUCUCUGGACUUUAGUAAUUUAACAAUCAUAUGGCUUGUAAGAAGUACCUAAAUUGUGAGAGAAUUUCUUUUUUUUUUGUAUUAAUGAAAGUUAAUGAAUUUGAAAUCUCAAUUGUUGGCUGCCUAAGUGUGAUUGCUUUGAUGUCUUAAUGUACCCAAACAAAGGGAAAGAAAUAGCAAAAUUAAUUAAAAGCUUUUUCGUUUGUGAUUUGCACUUCCUCACUGAAAAAAAAAUCCAAUUAAGACAUGAAAAUAUGCAAUA